UACGAAGGGGGCUAGCGUUGUUCGGAAUCACUGGGCGUAAAGGGCGCGUAGGCGGCUUUAUAAGUCGGGGGUGAAAGCCUGUGGCUCAACCACAGAAUUGCCUUCGAUACUGUAGAGCUUGAGACCGGAAGAGGUAAGUGGAACUGCGAGUGUAGAGGUGAAAUUCGUAGAUAUUCGCAAGAACACCAGUGGCGAAGGCGGCUUACUGGUCCGGUUCUGACGCUGAGGCGCGAAAGUGUGGGGAGCGAACAGG
rnacentral:rRNA from 1 species